rnacentral:misc_RNA from 1 species
AUUGGGUUUCUCGUUUUUCCCCAUCCGCCUUGGAAUAGGUGAAGAACGUGCCCUAAAAUCAUCGGCGGUGCGGCUGGCCUCGGAGCGUAUUAGAAUAUUUAAAUUUCGCUCUUGAGAUGACCAUGCAUGGACUUGCCGGACAACUCAAUUUUUCUAAAUGGAUUGACCUCGGAUCAGGUAGGGAUACCCGCUGAACUUAA